CCUAGCCUAUAUUGUCACUUUGAAAGAUGGAUGAUUACAAUAAUUAAAAUUUAGCCUCCAAUAUAAAAACAUAAAUUGGCUGAUAAUGGAUUGACCAUUGAAUAUCUUUAACAUGGUAUAAUCAUUCAUGCUUUACCAAAUGGCGCAGAUACCAAAUGAAUCACCUACUAAGAAACUACAAACAAGGUUACUGCAUGCCUUAAAUGUUAUUACAUCUAUAAAACAGAGUAAACCUCCAACAAAGCCAAGUAGGGUUUCACAAUUCUUUCAACCAUUUAAAAAUGAUAGACUAUUAUUUUAUACUUUUGUUACAUUUUUAACUGUACUAGUUUUAUACUUUUUAACAAAAGACUGGAAAGGAAUCACCGCCCCCGAAGAAAUUGAUUUAGGAUCGGUUAGAAUUUUAUCCCGUCAUCACAGAAGACAUACACGAAGGUGUCACGAAUACUAGUUUCAAAUGUAAUUUUACUAUAGCAAAUUAUAGUCUAUAAUAUUUUA